rnacentral:rRNA from 1 species
CGAACGCUGGCGGCGUGCUUAACACAUGCACGUCGAACGGAAAGGCCCUGCUUUUGUGGGGUGCUCGAGUGGCGAACGGGUGAGUAACACGUGAGUAACCUGCCCUUGACUUUGGGAUAACUUCAGGAAACUGGGGCUAAUACCGGAUAGGAGCUCCUGCUGCAUGGUGGGGGUUGGAAAGUUUCGGCGGUUGGGGAUGGACUCGCGGCUUAUCAGCUUGUUGGUGGGGUAGUGGCUUACCAAGGCUUUGACGGGUAGCCGGCCUGAGAGGGUGACCGGCCACAUUGGGACUGAGAUACGGCCCAGACUCCUACGGGAGGCAGCAGUGGGGAAUAUUGCACAAUGGGCGGAAGCCUGAUGCAGCAACGCCGCGUGCGGGAUGAUGGCCUUCGGGUUGUAAACCGCUUUCGCCUGUGACGAAGCGUGAGUGACGGUAAUGGGUAAAGAAGCACCGGCUAACUACGUG